ACUAUCCCAUUAAUUUUUCAUCACCAUUACUAGACCACCAUUUGUAAUUUGCAACUAGAUGUAUUUCCAUAAUACAACAUAGAUACAAAAUUUACACUUGUAUGAUCUCAAAAUAAGGUUAUUCAUAGCCAUCUCAUAAUGGCACCAUCAUUCCAAACUAUACAUGCAUCGUUAGCAAAGUGAUUCCUAGCAAUUUACAUUUAAUGUACAUGUACUCAUAUAAAAGACUUCUGACGACCAGCGGAGUGACUUUGGUGAGGGUACGGCUAUCGAAUGCCAUGAUACCUACCAAGAGUGAAUGCAAGUGGACGUCUUAGUCUCAGUCCCAACUAUCUACGGAUCUGAAAACAUGCAAUUUAAAAGAGUGAGUAUAAACUCAGUGAGUGAACAUAAGAAGGGAACAAGCAACGAUAAGGAAUGUUUUAGAAAACAUGAUGCACUUACGAUAAAACCAUGCAAUUUAGUCAAAUUUUUUGUUAAAACCCCUCAUUCCAAACUUUGAAUGUUUAAUCCCUUAAUGUUAAAAUAUCCAUGAUAAACCAUGAAGUUGAAUAGAAUGAAAAUUUCAGCAAUGACCAAGCAAGACAAGCAAACAGAAGGCUUUCUCGCUGCAAUGAAAAGGUAGUCUUGGUUUGCAUAUGCUUUGGUUUUUCAAGCAUAAAUCUCACUACAGAAGUCCAAUUGACAUGAUUUUUUAGUCAUUAGAAAGAUAAGAGACUGGGCUACUAUUUUCUAUUUACCACUUUGCCUAGUUCUGAUUAGAAGGUGGUCAAAAUCAUUAUUGAAAUGAGAGCACCGCACAAGAAUCUUGGAACCACCCUAGAGUUUCUCGCUGCAGCGAGAAUGCCCAGAAACUUUCUCGCUGUAAUGAGAACCAGACCAGUGUAAUCCCCCUUCAACCCGAGAGUUUCUUGUUACAGCAAAAAUGAAUCUCGCUGCAGCGAGAAAUAGAGCAAUUUAGUUAAAAGGGGUCUUGUUAUAUCAAAAGCCAUUUUCUUGUUGAAAUGAAAAGCAAUUUGGGAGCAAUUAACAAUGCCAACAUACAACACAAUCACAAUUAUUUUCAUGAACUUUCUAUAACAUAUUUAUAUAUUUGUAUAUACAUACAUCAUCAUGCAUACCAUUCCACCAUACUCAGCUCAUGUGCACUCCCUACACGCACAAAACAAUAUCAUCAUCAUCAUGUGCACUCCCUACUCGCACAUUUCAAUAUCAUCACAUGCACUCCGGCCUACAUCAUUACCGGCAUGUGCUCUCCCACACCACACACGCAUGGUCAUAUUUAUUACACGAUAUUAUCUAUCAAGGGACAACACAUAUGUAUGUAUACCGACGAAAUAAAGGAGUACGUGCACUCAUCACUGUCACAUUUCACAAUGCAAAACCUUUCAUUAAAAGCUUGUUCCCAUAUACAUUUUAAAGAAAAAGACAAUUAAAACCUUUCAAGUAAUUCACUCAAUCAUUUACAUAUUUACCCCAAAACAUUUUAAUGCAAGUUCAUUCACCGAUCUUUGUUAAUGCUUUGAUCAAUUCUAACUUCGACCAAUGCUCCAAAUGGAGAUACGGGAUCUUGUUAGAACCUAUCACGCCCAAUAGCAUCUCAAUAUCCCAAAUUGGCAUUAAUAUAAUUCCAAAAGCUAUUUCCUAACUCAAGUUUAGCUAGUUAUUCCUAACUAGCUUUCAAUCACCAUUAAGUGACUAUUUAUUUCAUUACUCUAAUCACCCAAAAAAAUGAAUAAACAACCUCCACAAUAAAACACUCACAAAUCAAAUUACUAGACAUUAUCAACAACUAAAGAGAUUAACCCUAACUCAUACUCACCUUGAUGUUUUUGUAGUUGAAUUCUCUUUCAAAAUUCUGCAAGCUAAUAAGGGAAAUCACUCACUCUCUCUCUCUCUCUCUCUCUCUCUCUACACAUCUAGCUAGUGAGUGAAUGUACUAAAGAAAAACUUUUGAAGACUGUUGAGGUGUAAAAGUGGAAGAGCAUGAAAAACACUAUGAAAGAAUGGGCAAAAGCAUAAAAUUUAAGGUUAGUUUGAGAGGGUGAUGGCAGCUUUGAGAGAAGCUUUCAUGGAGGAUGAAAGAAACGUGAGAUAGGAGGAAGAAGAAGAAGAAGCUACUGGAGGAAUGAGAUAUUUAUGCUUAAAGUUUAUCCAAGUUUCAUAUAAUUUACCAAAAUACCCUCAACAAGGUGACUUUGUCUUCCUCCUAUCUUUGUGUAAUCUUUUUACUUCUUUGACAUUAAGAUAAAGUCCAUAAUAGUCUAGAAAUAUCAAGUUCACGAAAACGUAAAAUUUUUUACCCAAGAUGCAAAAUGACCGUUUUGCCCCUAUUAUGAAAAUUAUUAGUAUUUCUAUUUUCUUCAUUUAUUUAUCAUGAUAUACAUCAUUCAUUUAUUCCUUAGGCCUAAUUAGGCCUUAAUAAUAUUAGGAAAUCUACUUUUGAAAGCUUACCAAGAAAAUGAUGAAAUUACCCCUAGUCCGUGUUAUCGCAUCUACUUCUAGUUACAAGUUUAUGGAGGUUGAGGUUUCAAAAUACGAGGGUAUUGGGUGUCACAAGGAGCAAGGACUAGUCUACUAAAUGAUUUUGUUGUAUAUGUACUAUCAGUUUCCCCCUUCCACACCAUUUCAUCUUUAAGCUCUUUACUCAAUUGAUAUUUUUCCAAGAUAAAGUUUAGAUGUCCCAAUUGAAUUUUUUCCUAGUCAAAAAUGUUUCUUCUCAACCUAAUCUACCAUUUCCAACUCUCUCCUUCCCAAUAUCCUUACUCCACAAAUCUGCCAACUUUGUUGGCAACAAGAGUGAACAUCCUAGGAAAGGCAUGCGCUAAGGAAACACCAUUAAUCCAAUUAUCGGUCCAAAAUUGAAGGUUUUUACCACUGCUUAUUGCAAAACCAAGGUUAAAAGAUACCUAUAAGAAAAUUUUAUUAGUAGGGGAAAGAAGGCUGAUAAUUGUUUUCCACAAGGUAAACACUUUCUUAUUUUUACUCAAGUUUGGCAAUAACAAGGUAGGAUCACAACCUUUUUUUUUCCACCACCACCUCUUUUCACAAACUAUCACUCUCCUUAUCAUAGUGCCAAAUCCACUUAUGGAGCAAGGCACAAUUUUGCACCUCUAAGUCAAUGAUACCUAUGCCUUCACAAUCUUUAAAAUUACACACAUUAUCCCGUUUCACAUAGUGUACCUUCUUUUUCAUUCUCGUACCCCCCAUAAGAACCGCCUCUGAAUUUUUUCCAACUCAUUUUUAACGUUACGUGGUAAAAGGAAGAGCGACAUGUAGAAUAUUGGCAAGCUCGCCAACACUGGCCUAAUCAAAAUAACUCAACCCCUUGAGAAAGCAUUUUAGUCUUCCACCCAACUAAUUUUGUCACGACCCAAAACUCCCAUCGAACCCGUGACAACCGUCGCGACAUCUCGAUAAACAUUCAUUACCCGGAAUGUCAAUCGAAAUCUCACAAUGCUUAACAUUAGUUUUUCUCACUUCCCCUGUGAGUGUUAGUCACUAAAAUUAUGUUUGAGAGAUUAUAAACAUUUUCCAAAUCAAAACAAUAGAAAAAUAAUUUUUCUCUCACAGGGGCAUUUUGGUCAUUUUUCCUCAAAAAUCUCGAAAUCCGCUAAAAAUGUAGUAUGUUGGUGCAAAACACAUAUUUCAUAAUCAAAAAUAAAUCUGGAUGUCUAAAACAUUUGUUUAAAAUGAAAUUAUGACUAUUAGAAUAAAAUAAAAAUAUUGAAUAAAAUAUUCAAUUUUCUCAUAAAACAAUAUUUUUAGAACACUGCAUAAAUAAUUUUUUUACAGCGUAAAAGCAAAAUAAAUUCAUAUAUAUUGUAAUACAAAAAGCCAGAGUAUUUAAUUUAAUUUAUAGUAACAAGUGGGCCCUUGAAUAACCAUAAGUAAGAAAAAUUAUGAACCUACAGUUUGGAAGAUGCAAAUCCAAUGGUAGUCCUCGAUGAAAUCAGCUAUCUAUAGACUAUCUUGAGCCUAAAAUGGGUGGAAAUGAGGGUGGUGAGAUUAUAUAAUCCUAGUGAGUAAACAAAUACCAUCUAAAAUAUCUAAAGCCGAGUAAAUGGAGACAUAUAAAACAGUUUAACAUACUGAAAUUCAUUACCUUUCAACUUGUUUCAACCAAAUAAAAUCAAUUCAUAGAAAUCGAGUAAUCAACAUGGCUUAUGAAUUUCUUAAAAUUUUGGCUCGCGCCAAAAAUCAUUUUUAUACCCAGUUAUCAAGGAUGCCUUGAUCGAGGGCUAUCCCAACCGAGUUCGCCAAGGCUGUUAAAAGGUUAUGUACGCAUAAAUCAUGUUUUUAUUUUAAAAACACAACCGUUCCAUGGCGUUAGCGGAGUUCAUCAUCACGAUGUGGUUUGGCAUGAAGUGAACUCUAAAGUUAUACCUCGAGAGUUACCCUACUCGCUUCUCCAACCGAGAUAAUAAUAUGACCAGGUUUCGUGCCCCUCUAAUAGGCUAGUCCACAGAACCAGCCCACUGCAGCAAGCUAAACCCACCAUACAAUAAAAAUUUACAACAGCAUGACAUGGCAAUUUUAUCAUUAUCCAACCUAUCAAGGCAAACAACAGUUUAUACAUUUCAACACAAAUACCAAUUCAGCCAUUCAUGCCAAUAUUGUCAUAAGCCAAUCAAUUAGAAUCAUGAAUUUACAACAUGCAAAAACGAUCUCCAAUUACUCUAUUUUCAAACCAUCAUUCGAUUUUAAAACAAUUUAUAAAAUCUUUUCAUUUAAACAUAUUUUGUUUAUAAAACCUAAAAAUUUACCAUUUAAACUCAUUUUCCAUAAAAUUCACAAAAUCAGAUAAAAACCACUUUAGAUAAUUAAGACGAUAGUAAGGUUACUCACAAUGUCUAGAGUGCGAAUUUUCGAAGUACUCUGACUACUGGUCCUCGAAUGCAAUUUUCUUGCCUUUAUCGGAGGACUCACCACCUUGACAUAGUACAAAAUUGAGAAACUUACUACAUUGGUACUAAAUCAAAAUUAAACUAAUUUAGACUACUAAUGCAUGAUAUGGAAUGCAAAAUGCACGGGUAACCAUCUAAACCCGGUAUUGGCCUAAUUCGUCUUAUUACCCGAUUAAUUGGCCAACGCGUCCAAUUUAGCUCCAAAUUGUUCCAUUUCUUUUCCAAUACCUUAAUUCACCAAACACAAGUCAAAUAACCUAAAUUUGGCAAAACCAUAUUCACUUUUCUUCUUAGAAUUUUUGGUCAAUAAUGGUGCAUUAACACCGUGAUUUUUCCUACUACUUUUCCACAUCAUAAUUCAUCAUUUUCUAACCAAUUCUCUUAAAAUAAAAAUCAAAUUCAUCCUCACUCAAUACAAGGUAGGUUCGGCCAUUGAUGGGUGAUGGGAAAAAUAAAUUCUUUUCUUGUUGUUUUGCUUCUAGACAUGGUAAAUUAACUAAAAACACUAACAUAACUUGAAAUCAAAUCAAUCCAACAUCAUUCUCUCUCCAUACCCAUUCAGCUAGCCAUGAAUCCUUCAUGAUAUCUUGUGAUUCAACCAUGAAAAAUGAAAAAUAAUGCAUGAGAAAGGUAGAUCACAAGUCAAAAUCAAGAAAUUUUACCUUUGAUUGCUUGAUUACUUGAAAUCUACCAAUUUUUCUCUUGAAUUUUCACCCUAGGGUUCUUGUUCUUUCUUUUCUUCCUUUGUUCUUCUUUGGCCGGC
rnacentral:lncRNA from 1 species